ACUCAAAGGAAUUGACGGGGGCCCGCACAAGCGGCGGAGCAUGCGGAUUAAUUCGAUGCAACGCGAAGAACCUUACCAAGGCUUGACAUACAGAGAAAACUGUCAGAGAUGGCAGGUCCUUACGGGCUCUGUACAGGUGGUGCAUGGUUGUCGUCAGCUCGUGUCGUGAGAUGUUGGGUUAAGUCCCGCAACGAGCGCAACCCUCGUUCUAUGUUGCCAGCGGAUAAUGCCGGGGACUCAUAGGAGACUGCCGGGGUCAACUCGGAGGAAGGUGGGGAUGACGUCAAAUCAUCAUGCCCCUUAUGUCUUGGGCUUCACGCAUGCUACAAUGGCCAGCACAAAGGGCUGCGAGACCGCAAGGUGGAGCGAAUCCCAAAAAACUGGUCUCAGUUCGGAUUGGGGUCUGCAACUCGACCCCAUGAAGUCGGAGUCGCUAGUAAUCGCAGAUCAGCAACGCUGCGGUGAAUACGUUCCCGGGCCUUGUACACACCGCCCGU
rnacentral:rRNA from 1 species